rnacentral:misc_RNA from 1 species
GAUGAAGAACGUAGCGAAAUGCGAUAAGUAAUGUGAAUUGCAGAAUUCAGUGAAUCAUCGAAUCUUUGAACGCAUCUUGCGCUCCUUGGUAUUCCGAGGAGCAUGCCUGUUUGAGUGUCAUUUAACUUCUCAACCCACAUCCAGAUAUUUCUGAUGUUGGCUUGGAUAUGGGGGUUGUUUGCAGGCUUUCUCUUGAAGAAUGUCGGCUCCCCUGAAAUGUAUUAGUGGUAUCUGAGGCUAUUGCUAUAGGUGUGAUAAUUAUCUAUGCCUUUUGGUAUGCCGCAUAAAAACAGAUUACACUGCUUCUACUCCCAAAACAUUUAUUUGUUGACGAAUUUGACCUCAAAUCAGGUAGGACUACCCGCUGAACUUAAGCAUAUCAAUAAGCGGAGGA